rnacentral:lncRNA from 1 species
AUGGUGCUCCGAGCCUCCGCCUCCUGGGGUGGCAGGUGGCAAUGCCUGGCGCGGCCUCCUGAGGACCCAGGGAGCUCAGUAGGCCCAGGGAAGGUCGCCCCGGCUGCAGAGAGCUGCACGGCUCCCUGCCUGUGGGGACCGCCCAGCCCGGCCGCACCCGGAGAUGCCCCCAAGCCGCCCGGUUUCCCGCUCCUGGAGCGCAGUGUCGGCGGCGAGUUCCCCGGAAGCCCAAGCGAUUGCAUCUGGGGACCCGAGAGGGACGGUGGCGGCCCCAGGACCCCUCCCGACCGUCUCACGCGUCCUGCCUUCUGCCCCCCUGAAGAACAGCCAGGUGAACACCCGCUUUGCUCCUUUUACAGGUUAGGUUUGUUGUUUCUGCGGCGCUGGUCUGAGGUGUCGCGGCUGCCAGUUGCACCUGGUUUGGGCAACAGUGUCCUGGCGGGAGAACGAGAGACACGAGGCUCGGCAGCUGCAGAAAUGGUGUCAAUGUCACCUGCACCCCGUCCCGUCUGUGGCGGCCCGGCCACCGAGCUCGCUGAGGCGGGGCAGGCCCCUGCCCUCUGGCCUGUCCGCCUGUCCGCGGAUGCUCAGAUGUUUAACUUGGUGCUAAACGGGGGGCGAGACGGGGGAUGACUCGCUGCUGCCGCAGUCUGAUGUCGCGGCCCCUGAGACUCGCCUCCUCCGUUGGACGCUGGAGACGUGAGCUGUGCCUACUUCCCAGGGGACGCGGGACGCUCGCUCUAAAGCGCUCGGAACAGCGGCGGCCACAGCCCUCAACGGGCGCCGCUGCUAUGAUCAUAAUCACAGGUCAGGGUGGGGCGGCUGCGUCCGUGGAUGCUCCCCCACGCUGGGCCUCGUGGCUGGGGGGCUGUGCCAGGAGGGGGGCCGCGGGGCUGCUGCUGGCGCUGGGUGACCCAGGACGUGCUGGAACCGACGGCAACCCGGGCUCGAGCGGGGGCGAGGUGGGAAGCCCGGCUCCUCUCCCGCCCGGCGGCCUCGGGGGCCACGCGGUGCGUCAUCCUUGGUAUUUGUAGUGCCUGGAGCAGGGGGAGGCUCUCUGCCGCAGGGGUCGGGGCAAGGCCGGCCAGGGACAGCCGGGCACCCGGGCACACCUGCAGCAGGUGCAGGACACGAGGCCACCGGGCCCGCCGGCUGCUGGGGAGAAGGACGGCCAGAGCCUGCCCCCACUGCCCUGGCCGACCCGCAGGUCCAUCAGCCCGACGGCUCGACCUCGCGACCUCUGGGGCCGGCGGGCCUCCCUGUUCCACGGACGAGGGCGACGAGGGCGUUCUGGAGCUCAGGGCAGGGCAAGGGGCCUUCGGGCCGAGCCCCCACCCCGAGCCCCGGCUCCCCGCACGGCCCCCACGGCAGCACCUGCCUCUUCUUCGGUGGAAGCGCGCCCGGCCCGGGGCCAGGCUGGCAGGGCCUGAAGGACGGGCCCAACCCUACUAAUCCGGCCUGCGCCUUCCUGCCCCCGCGCCCUGGGCAGGCCUGUGACCCAGAGCGCACCCUGUCCCAGGGCCAGCCCAGCAGGCCCAGCCCCGGCGACAAUAGCCGGAAGGGCCUCUCGGAGCAAGUACUUCCUGAAGUGCCCGGAGCGGCCGCGUCCCCGCAGCUCAGGAACAAUCACAGCCCGGCCGCUUCCUCCCCUGCAGGGCGUCCUGCACUCGGGGAAGCCCUGGGCCCUGGGGGGGGGCACCCCGGAGCAGGGCGCUUGGGUCCCCGACACACCUUGACAGAUUCACACUUCCCCCCAGACCCUCAGUCUUCUUUGUCCUUCCCGUAAACCAGCUGCCUCAUCCUUGACCUUGGUUCUUGUGUCAUCUUUCUUGGGGAUUUUAAAAAAAAAUUUAUUUGUUCCUGAGAGACUCACAGAGAGAGGCAGAGACCCAGGUAGAGGGAGAAGCAGGCUCCACGCAGGGAGCCCAACGCGGGACUCGAUCCCAGGACCCCGGGGUCAUGCCCUGAGCCCAGGGCAGAUGCUCAAUGGCUGAGCUGCCCGGGCGCCCCUUUCUUUGGGAUCUUUAAAAGAGCAAGGAGAGAAGGAGGGGAAACGCCCAAGGGGAAGGUAAAUCCUGGGAUCCCGCCGUGCACCCAGCUGUCCUUCAGCAGCAGCGGGUGAGGCCUGGGCGUCCAGCACUCCCCCCGACCGACGCACUUACCCGCCCAUUUCAUGAUCCGCUGCAGCUGCUGCGGCGUCCCCCGCGUUGUGGAGGCGGCGUGGGCCCGGCCCCACGCGGGGGUGCACGGGGAGCCGGCAGUUGGCAUCCCCGGUUUACUGGGUGAGCGCGGAGCAGCCGAGGGCGACGGGAGGCGAGCGCAGCAGGUGUGGGGGGGACCUUGAACGCAGUCCUGGGGGAUGCAGGGCCAGAGCCCGAGGACUGGGGCGGGAGCACGAUGGCACCGGGUGGUGGCCCUGGGUAACUCCAGCCGCCCGUCCCCCUGCGUCCUCCGCCCGAGCGCUCCACCUGUGGGACUCCGGGUCCCUGUCUGCGGAGUGCAGGGGAGGAGGGCGGCGCACCUACUGCAUAGGGGGCGACGCCGAUGAACGCGGGCCGGCACACACCCCGGCACCCGCGGCGCAGCGAGCCGGGACCCGGUGGGGACAGGCAGGGACAGGCUGCACGCCCGUCGUGAGCUCCGGCCCGGCCGGGCGCUGCCCAUCCAAGCAGGCCCGGCAAGGCGCAGCUCGGGCCUGCGGGGACCCGCAGAUGCCCUGCUGCUAGGAUCCCGCACCCGGCGCCCGAGAGACCCGGAUUCCCAUGUCACGUCGCCUGCACACGGUGGGCCCUUCUGGGGCCUCAGUGCUCCCGUCUGUGAAACGGGUGUGGCGGUGGUGCAUUCCUCCUGGGGUCGCCGUGGGGGCUACCGCGUGCCACGUGCACAGCCCAGAAAGUACACGGCUACGCGAAUGACAGCCUCGGACUCAGCUGGCAUCGAAUGAAAGAGAAGCAGUACCGGGCGGGGGGGGGGGGGGGG